rnacentral:rRNA from 1 species
CCCCUAGAUGUUCUGGGCCGCACGCGCGCUACACUGAACAGUUCAACAAGUCUUAACCUUGGCCGAUAGGUCUGGGUAAUCUUUGAACGCUGUUCGUGAUUGGGAUAGACCUUUGCAAUUAUGGGUCUUCAACGAGGAAUUCCUAGUAAACGCAAGUCAUCAGCUUGCAUUGAUUACGCCCCUGCCCUUUGUACACACCGCCCGUCGCACCUACCGAUUGAAUGGUCCGGUGAAGCCUCCGGAUUGGCGUGCACCCUCGGGUGCUGCCGAGAAGUUGGCUAAACCUUACCAUUUAGAGGAAGGUGAAGUCGUAACA